UACGAAGGGGGCCAGCGUUGCUCGGAAUCACUGGGCGUAAAGGGUGCGUAGGCGGGUCUUUAAGUCAGGGGUGAAAUCCUGGAGCUCAACUCCAGAACUGCCUUUGAUACUGAGGAUCUUGAGUUCGGGAGAGGUGAGUGGAACUGCGAGUGUAGAGGUGAAAUUCGUAGAUAUUCGCAAGAACACCAGUGGCGAAGGCGGCUCACUGGCCCGAUACUGACGCUGAGGCACGAAAGCGUGGGGAGCAAACAGG
rnacentral:rRNA from 1 species